rnacentral:ncRNA from 1 species
GAUAGGUCGCUGUCGCUACCGUGAUUGGACACUGACACAGAGUCAACUAGCCUGAGUCGCGCGGUUCUUCGCGCGCGAGAACCGGAGGACGGUCCGAGCCACGAGGGGGGAGGCUCGGACCGUCCGUC